rnacentral:rRNA from 1 species
UACGGAGGGUGCAAGCGUUAUCCGGAAUCACUGGGCGUAAAGGGUGCGUAGGCGGGUCUUUAAGUCAGGGGUGAAAUCCUGGAGCUCAACUCCAGAACUGCCUUUGAUACUGAAGAUCUUGAGUUCGGGAGAGGUGAGUGGAACUGCGAGUGUAGAGGUGAAAUUCGUAGAUAUUCGCAAGAACACCAGUGGCGAAGGCGGCUCACUGGCCCGAUACUGACGCUGAGGCACGAAAGCGUGGGGAUCAAACAGG